AAAGAGAGGUAUGCGGGUACAUACCUCUCUUUUAUACCAGCGCCAGUUAUAAGAACUGGUGGCUUACUGAGUUAAGUUUUUAUUACUGUUUAACCGUUCGGCCUGUCAAGCUUA
rnacentral:antisense_RNA from 1 species